rnacentral:lncRNA from 10 species
GCCAACUGUCUGGAGGAGGAGGAGAAGGAAGAGGAGGAGGAGGAGGAAGAAGACUUCUCCUAAGUUCCUGACCCCCACCCCAUAGCUACCUGCUCAGUACCUGGGUAGGCAGGCACUGAAGAUCAGCACAAAAGAUGAGCCCCUGACUCUUCCAGGGCCAGGCCGGCUCAGGGACCCCAAAGCCUUUUUUCUUCCAACAGCACAAAUGAGAAGCCACAUUGCAGUAUCAACCUUGAGAAUUUCAAAUACCUUUGAAACAGGCAUCUCACUGGACACAGAAGACACAACUGUGAACAAGUCCAAGAAAGACCCUGUUCUCAGGAAACUGAAAUUCCUGCUAGAAGGUCUGGCAAACCUUCGUUCAGAGAUAUGACAAAAUCAAGGGUUGUGCAAGAAGCAUGGUGCUGGCAUCUGCUCCUGGUUGAGGCCUCAGGAAGCUUCCAGUCAUGGCAGGAGGCAAAGAGGGAGCCGGCAUGUGCAGAGAUCACAUGGAAAGAGAGGAAGGAAAAAAGAGAGGAGGAGAUAUGAACUAAUAGAGCGAGUACUCACUCCACCAAGGGAAUGGCACCAAGCCAUACAUACAUGAGGGAUCCGCCCCCAUGAACCAACCACCUCUCACUAGGCCCACCUCCAACAUCGGGGAUCACAUUUCAACAUGAGAUUUGGAGGGGACACACAUCCAAACCACAUCAUGCCCAACCUUGAAAUACAGUGAAUCUCACUUUAUUGCUUUUACUCUCAAGCAACCAAAUCCUUUACCCUCUUUCCCACGUCCGCUAUAAUCUAGGGUCAUGAGAACGCCUUAUCUUCAUUCCAGAUCACAAGAGUGUCCCAUUCCACUAAACCACAGGCACUCCCAUGGCAGAAACAUCCUCACUCUCAAAACUUCCUUAAUAUGAAGCACGGUUCUAGGCACAAAACAGGCACACAGAAAAUACUUGUGUGGUUAUUGAUUGAGCAAAGAAUUUUACAAACAGUAAAAGGGGUACUGUAUGCCUGACAGCUCAAGGGUUGUUGUAAAUGCAAACUUCAUCUUUCUGCCUUUGGGGAAAGGAGUACUGAUGCUGGUUUAACUCUGUUCCCUUUAAGAGUGUCUGGUUGAAGCUGAAACUCACACCAUCAACUUCUGAUAAAGCAACAGAAAUUUGACUGGGUUAGGCCUGACUCCAAAGCAGCUUUUAAGAUGGUUAUGUUGCUGCCACUUUUCUCACACAAGGAGCUGGAAAUUCUACCAAGCCUCUGAUCUGACACCAGAGCCUAGUUCUAAACGUUCCCUGGGUCUGCCCCAAUGGUAUACACAAGCCCUGGGAAGAGGAAGAAACAGCUUAUGAUUGCUGUGUCUUCCCCGACGCUGGAAAGAAUGGUGUUCCUUGAUCCCAGUGCUUCCAUGACCCUGAUGAAAGCCUCAGCCCUGGAUCCCAGAGUGAUCGCCUAGAGCAAAUGCUUGAGUGAGAUUUCAGCUCUUCUCUUGCCAAGAUGUGGCUUUUCAAGGCUGGGCUGCCAAUGAAAAUGUCAACAAUGCUCAGAUCAAGAGGAAAAUGCUCAUUUCACCCUCAGAGGGCAUCCAACAUUCCAGCAGAUCAGUGGUGAUCCAAGGUGCCCUUUGUUGAUCAGGGCAGAGAAUACAUUUCCUUUCCCAAGACAGAGCAGUCCAGUGUGGUUAGUAAAUGGGCCAGCACCAAAGAGGCUGCAUGCAGAGUGGAAGCUGAGGCAGGUGAUGCCCUCCUUCCUCCACAGAGAGGCUUAGAUCCCUUAGAAGAGGCAACUGGUCUUGGGGACAUAUUCUGAGUCUCUCCUGAAGCAAUGGAAAUGGGAUCCAGCUUUGGAAUCUGAUCCCCUCCCUUGCAAAUGAAACUUGGUUCCAAGGAGCAACCAACUGAACAAAUCCCAAAUGCCAGACAUUGAAACAAUGGCAGAAUUAGCUAGAGGAGAGCUAAUGUCCCUAUGAAUCUAGCUAGCCCUAAGCCCAAGCCUCACAAGUCAAAAUAUAAAUGAAUUAUCUAAAACUAAGAGACCUGAUUGCUGAAUCUUGAUUAAGAUGAGCAUUCAAGAUGAGGAUACUGAAUGUGUUGAAAUAGCCAAGGGAGGGCUGGGCUUGUUUCAACUAAGGUGUCUACGUGCCUUAUUAACAUUACUAACAAAGGAGAAAAAAAGAUGUUAAAAAGUAGCAAUGAUGCAAUAACUGGCUUUGAGUGAUUCUAGAAAAGGAGCAGGCAUUUGCUUUGAAAUGAACUCUCAGAAUUAGCUUGUUCUUCCACAGGAUCAUAGACUCGUCUAGUUUUGUGUUUUCCAGACUGUGCUGUGAGGAGAACAAGCAAUUCCUGAGAGAUCUCAGGCUCCAUCCUCCUACCCUGCCUGAGCUGAAGAAGCUCUUUGUGCCCCUUCUGAAUAUGAUUGGGUUUCUGAGUAAGAAGUUGUUGGGAGAAGUCGUUCUGCUGCUUUGUAUCGGAUAGGACUCUCAGUUGUGAAAGACAAAGACCCUGAUUAACACAAAAUUCAUUUAGGCAAAAGUAGUGUCACACAUAAACUGAAAAGUUAAAAGCUGUGAGCUUCAAGCACAGCCAGAUACAGUGGCUUCUUUGAUGUCAGUGGGGCUGAGGGAGUCUCUGUUUCCUACCUUGCCUCCUUCUAUGUCAGCUUUAUUCAGGCAACCUUCCUUCCCAUGCGGUGGCAAGAUGACCAUCCGGCGGGUUCAGGCUUCCAGCCGGUCAUCUCAGAAGCCCAGUGGUUGUCCUUCCCGAUAGCUCUCUAUCAAUCAGGAUUAGGUUAAGCUGCCAAGUAAAAGAAAACUCAAAGUGACAACAGUUUAAACAAGCUAGAAGUUCAUUCUGUCUUACAUAAACAAAAUCCCAAAGUAAGCAGUCCAGGACUGUGUAGUUCCUCCACAAACAUACAUACGCAUGCAUGUAUCUUUAUGAUAGAAUGAAGGAGAAUAGUGCUACAAUGAACAUACGCAUGCAUGUAUCUUUAUGAUAGAAUGAUUUAUAUUCCUCUGGGUAUAUACCCAGUAAUGGGAUUGUUUGGUCAAAUAGUAUUUCUGUUUCUAGAUCUUUGAGGAAUUGUCACAGUGUUUUCCACAAUGGUUAAUUAAUGGUUAAAUUAAUUAAUUUACAUUCCCACCAUCAGUGUAAAAGUGUUCCUAUUUCUCUGCAACUUCACCAGCAUCUGUUGUUUCUAGACUUUUUAAUAGUUGCCAUUCUGACUGGCAUGAGAUGGUAUCUCACUGUGGUUUUGAUUUGCAUUUCUCUAAUGAUCAGUGAUGUUGAGCUUUUUUUCAUAUGUUUUUUGGCUGCAUGAAUGUCUUCCUUUGAGAAGUGUCUGUUCAUGUCUUUUAUCCACUUCUUAAAGGAAAACCCCCGUCUCUUAAAAAGAAAAAAAAAAUCCUUGGUCAAAUGUAAUCAUAUGCCCACACCUAGUUGUAAGGGAGGCUAGAAGUGUAAUCUUUGUUCCUGGAAGAUAUAAACCCAGCUAAAAGUCAAGAGUUCUGUUACUAAGGGAGAUGGAGAAAAUGGAUUUUGGAGGGAGACUAAUAGCAUCUCAUCUGCCAUGUUAAACUAAUAGUUCCAACAAAAGUUUUCUGGGUUUUUUUGUUUGUUUGUUUUUGUUUUUGAGAUGGAGUCUCACUCUGUU